AGAGUUUGAUCCUGGCUCAGAUUGAACGCUGGCGGCAUGCCUUACACAUGCAAGUCGAACGGCAGCACGGGAGCAAUCCUGGUGGCGAGUGGCGAACGGGUGAGUAAUAUAUCGGAACGUGCCCAGUCGUGGGGGAUAACGUAGCGAAAGCUACGCUAAUACCGCAUACGAUCUAUGGAUGAAAGCGGGGGAUCGCAAGACCUCGCGCGAUUGGAGCGGCCGAUAUCAGAUUAGCUAGUUGGUGGGGUAAAGGCCCACCAAGGCGACGAUCUGUAGCUGGUCUGAGAGGACGACCAGCCACACUGGAACUGAGACACGGUCCAGACUCCUACGGGAGGCAGCAGUGGGGAAUUUUGGACAAUGGG
rnacentral:rRNA from 1 species